rfam:Perkinsus marinus ATCC 50983 gcontig_1104296673944, whole genome shotgun sequence.
GUCACUUUAGCUUAGUGGUAGAGCGUCUGCUGUGUAAGCAGAAGGUCGUCAGUUUAAUCCUGGCAACGGGCU